rnacentral:rRNA from 1 species
AAAGAGAGUUUGAUCCUGGCUCAGGAUGAACGCUGGCGGUAUGCCUAACACAUGCAAGUCGUACGAGAGUUUUUAACUCAAGUGGCGGACGGGUGAGUAACACGUGAGAAUUUGCCUCUAGGAGGGGGACAACAACUGGAAACGGUUGCUAAUACCCCAUAUGCUUUCGAGUGAAAUGAUUUUUUCGCCUAGAGAGAAGCUCGCGGCUGAUUAGCUUGUUGGUGGGGUAAUAGCCUACCAAGGCGACGAUCAGUAUCUGGUUUGAGAGGACGAUCAGACACACUGGAACUGAGACACGGUCCAGACUCCUACGGGAGGCAGCAGCGGGGAA